UACAGAGAGUGCAAGCGUUAAUCGGAAUUACUGGGCGUAAAGCGCACGUAGGUGGAAUCUUAAGUCAGAUGUGAAAUCCCCGAGCUUAACUUGGGAAUUGCAUUUGAUACUGGGUUUCUAGAAUAUGGUAGAGGGAAGUGGAAUUUCCGGUGUAGCGGUGAAAUGCGUAGAUAUCGGAAAGAACACCAGUGGCGAAAGCGGCUUCCUGGACCAAUAUUGACACUUAGGUGCGAAAGCGUGGGGAGCAAACAGG
rnacentral:rRNA from 1 species